GGAGUAUGAUGCUAUGAAACCAGAAUGGUUGUAUUGCUUAUGAAGACAGUGAGGAAUCAGGCCUAUGCUCUUUAACCAUGAGCUCAGCUCUUAACUUCUCCUGCUUGUUGGUGUGUUUCUCUUAGUGGAAAGCAAUGAUUUGUUGAGAGAAGAGGAGAUAUUUUCUUCCUCCCUGAGUGAUGAUUCUGCCUCUGAGCUCAGUCUCACAGAUGUCAGCUCUGAUGAGCUCUCUAGUGCCACAGAGAUUAAGGAGCCUGAAGGAUCCAAAGAGCUCUCCACCCCAAGCCUGGAGUUGGAGGACAGCACCCCCAAGGAGGAGGCUGGAAGCAUGUCGGAUGAGGACCUCAGCAGUGACCUGUUUGACAGUCUGCCUGAACUUAAUCUGAGCGAUCUUUAACGCUUAGCCAAAGAAAGCCCCCUUCCGUCAAAUAAGAAAAAUUAAAGAUGGAAAGGGAACUGGCAUCUCAAAAUGGACAGGAUCCUCUUCUGAACUGUCAGCCACUUGGGCGGAGGGGGGGGAGGGGUGUUGCAGUGGCCCAAAGUGAUCCCUUUGCGGGGAGACGGGCUCUGCACAGCCUGGUAUCAGGCAGUCUGCACCUCUGCUGACUUUGACUUUCAAGUACUCUCCAGAAGAAACUGACUGGGCUGUGUAUUUCUGAGCUUCAGGUUGUAAGAUCUGUUCUAACUCUGUCAGCUAACAUGCUGGGCAUGUAUAUGGAGACCUGUUUUGCCCUCUCGGCAUGGGUGGGGAACAGAGCCCUAGUAGGUGAUCCAUACAUUUACCCAGGUAAGUGCAAGACGCCUCUAAGUGGCAGCUGAGUUUGCUGGGUGCUGGUAAAUCUCUUCCCAUGCAGGUAAUUGAAGUGGUUUAAAAAGCUCCAUUCUUGGAACAGUAUUUUCAUAUGUUUCAGUAUGUCAUUCAUAAAGGGAAAAUUGCUUUAAGGAGAAGACAGCUGAAAUGGAGAGAAGCUGUGGCCUAAAAUCCUGCCAUUCCCAUUCUUCAG
rnacentral:lncRNA from 1 species